CCACUUCCAUUUUUUAGUUUACUCCCUUAUUUUGCUGGGGUCCAUCAUCAAGUAACUUCCUAAGAAGGUAUGUGGAGGCUGGGUGCAGUGGCUCAUGCCUGUAAUCCCAGCACUUUGGGAGGCCGAGAUGGGGGGAUCACUAAAGGUUGGGAGUGCGAGACCAGCCUGGCUAACAUGGUAAUACCCUGUCUCUACUAAAAAUACAAAAAUUAGCCAGGCGUGAUGGCAGGCGCCUGUAAUCUCAGCUACUUGGGAGGCUGAGGCAGGAGAAUCGCUGAACCUGGGGGGCAAAGGUUGCAGUGAGGUGAGAUCAUGCCACUGCACUCCAGCCUGGGCAACAGAGCAAGACUCUGUCUCAAAAAAUAAAAAUUAAAAAAAAAAAAAGAAAGGAUUUGUGGGCAGUCAGCCUUCUGAGUCAGCUCUGAUAUAUCUGAAAACGGGCAUGUUCUACCUUCACACCUAAUUGAUGGUUUCAUUCAGGGAUCAGCAACCUACUUUCCACGGGCCGCUUUUGGCUUGCUGCCUAUUUUUGCACAGCUGCAGGGAACUAGAAGACAACUCAAUAUAGGGAGAAGAUG
rnacentral:lncRNA from 10 species